ACGCUGGCGGCGUGGCUAAGACAUGCAAGUCGCACGGUGUAGCAAUACACAGUGGCGAACGGGUGAGUAAUGAAUCGCUAAUGUACCCCGGACUCUGGGAUAGCUGACCGAAAGGUCAGGUAAUACCAGAUGACAUAACCUGACGGCAUCGUCGGGUUCUCAAAGGUCCGCCGGUCUGGGAGCAGGCGAUUUCGUAUCAGCUAGUUGGUGAGGUAACGGCUCACCAAGGCGACGACGCGUAGCCGGACUGAGAGGUUGGCCGGCCACAUUGGGACUGAGACACUGCCCAGACUCCUACGGGGGGCUGCAGUAACGAAUCUUCCGCAAUGCACGAAAGUGUGACGGAGCGACGCCGCGUGUGGGACGAAGUCCUUCGGGAUGUAAACCACUGUCAGGGGUAAGAAAGUUCUGAUCUACCCCAGAGGAAGGCACGGCUAACUCUGUGCCAGCAGCCGCGGUAAGACAGAGGUGCCGAGCGUUAGGCGGAAUCACUGGGCUUAAAGCGUGUGUAGGCGGACUUCUAAGUACCUUGUGAAAUCCUACGGCUCAACCGUGGAACUGCUUGGUAUACUGGUUGUCUUGAGCCACUUAGGGGCAGUCGGAACAGACGGUGGAGCGGUGAAAUGCGUAGAUAUCGUCUGGAACGCCAAAGGUGAAAACAGACUGCUGGGAGUGUGCUGAC
rnacentral:rRNA from 1 species